rnacentral:rRNA from 1 species
AUGCUAAGCAGCUGCGUAUCCAUUGCGGCAGCGGUGUUGCUGCUGCUAAUCUCGGCAACGGCGGCCGCAGCAGGUCCUCCGCGGAUGAAGAUAGGGAUGCCCGGCUGCAACACCACCUGUGGCAACGUAAGCGUGCCUUACCCGUUCGGGAUGGGCCCAAAGAGCUGCUACUGGCCGGGGUUCAAGCUCACCUGCAACAACAACGGAAGCAAGCCCCCGCGGCUGCUCCUCGGCGAGGGCAGUGGUGGCGUGUUCGAGGUCGUCGAUAUCUCCCUGAAGAACAGCACGAUGCGCAUCGUCAAUCGUGGACUGCGAGCCAUCAACAUGAGCGACGGCUCCGGCCAGUGGAUCAUAGCUGACGCUGAGACCAUCGGCGCCGGUGGGGUGGCCUACCUGCUGAACCCGGGGUCCAAUGAGUUCAUACUGACGGGCUGCAAUGUGCAAGCGACGUUGCUGGCGAACCGGAGCCUCGCCAGCGGCUGCGCCUCUUUCUGCCCCGAAUUUGGUGAUGGCAUUAGCUAUACCCAAACUUAUAAAAGGGGAAAUUCCAAAGCAUGCUCCAACAUCGGCUGCUGCCAGUCCACCAUCCAAACUGCCAGCGCGUCUUACGGCGUGGAGCUCAAGCAGCUCAACUACAGCGGCGUGUACAGUAAUUUUGGUUCCCCCGUGAACGUGCUUAUCGCCGAGGUUGGCUGGUUCGACGUAGACCACAACCUGGAAGUGGUCAUGAACGUGGAUUGGCGGGCAAACAAAAAUCUCUCGCGGGAGGCUGAUCAGCUCAGGGUUCCCGUGAUUCUCGCGUGGGCGUUGGCACACGACGCAGCAGUGUAUAACACUGGCCAUUCGCGCUGCCCUCGCGACGCAGCCCGGGGCAUCUGCAAGAGUACCAACAGCAAUUGCAGCGUCGGAAACACAAUUGAAGAAAUCAGAGGCUAUUCGUGCCACUGCAAGGAGGGCUACGAGGGCAACCCUUACCUCACAGGAGGAUGCCAAGAUAUCAAAGAGUGCAAUCAGAAAGAAAAACAUUUCUGCUUCGGCGUCUGCGAGGAACUGUCAGGCUCGUUCCGGUGCCGCUGCCCGAAUGGAACGCAUGGAAAUUACACCAAGCCCGGUGGCUGCAUCAUCGACUCUGUGGACACAAUCCGAGGUAACAAGAACAUGGGUUUAGUCAUUGGUCUCUCAGUCGCUAGUGGCCCAUUUAUUCUACUUUUGGUUCUUGGUGCACUUCUAAUAACCCGUGGAUUUAAACAACACAAGACAAAGGUGUUGCGACAGAAGUUCUUUAGUCAAAACCGUGGCCAGCUAUUAAGGCAAUUGGUAUCUCAUAGAGCCGACAUCGCAGAGAGGAUGCUCAUCUCUUUAGAGGAGAUAGAGAAGGCUACCAACAAUUUUGAUCAAGCCCGCAAGCUCGGUGGAGGUGGGCAUGGCACUGUCUACAAAGGGAUCAUGUUAGACUUGCAUGUUGUGGCCAUCAAGAAGUCAAAUAUUGUUGUCAAAAGAGAAAUCAACGAGUUCAUAAAUGAGGUUGCCAUACUCUCACAGAUCAACCAUAGAAAUAUUGUGAAGCUUCGUGGAUGUUGCCUCGAGACAGAAGUCCCUUUACUGGCUUACGAGUUCAUUUCCAACGGAACACUCGCUGAUCAUCUUCACACGGAAGAACGAGGAUCGCUACCUUGGAAAGAUAGGUUAAGGAUCACAAGUGAAACAGGGAAAGCUCUUGCUUACCUUCACUCAGCUAUGUCAGUCACUGUAAUACAUAGAGAUAUCAAACCCUCCAACAUACUUCUUGACGAUGCCUUGACAGCAAAAGUGUCAGACUUUGGAGCUUCAAGGUACAUUAUUCCCAUGGAUCAAACAGGAACAACAACUGCGGUGCAAGGAACUAUAGGGUACUUAGAUCCUAUGUAUUAUUAUACUAGACGCCUCACGGAAAGUAGUGAUGUUUAUAGCUUUGGAGUCCUUCUUGUCGAAUUGCUUACUAGGAAGAAGCCAUCUGUGUAUAGAUCUUCCGAGGGUGAUGGACUUGUCAUGCAAUUUGUUGCACUACUUGCAGAAGGCGAUUUGGAAAAAAUACUAGACCCACAAGUUAUAGAAGAAGGGGGCAUCAAAGUGAAAGAAGUUGCUACUCUAGCCAUGGAGUGCGUGAAACUAAGAGCAGAGGAGCGACCAACCAUGAGGCAAGUAGAGAUGGCGCUAGAAGCUCUCCAAGCACCCAAUAAGCGUGUCCAGGCUGAUUUGGUAGAAGAAACAGUUGAGAAGGAAUAUGCAGCAACAGGCUAUCCAUCCACCAGCCAACAAGCAAAGAAAAACGAAGGAAGCAGGUGUUAUAGCCAAGAAGAUGAGUUCCUGUUAUCUGCGACAUACCCUCGAUAG